AGAACGAACGCUGGCGGCAUGCCUAACACAUGCAAGUCGAACGAGAUCCUUCGGGGUCUAGUGGCGCACGGGUGCGUAACGCGUGGGAAUCUGCCCUUAGGUACGGAAUAACUCAGGGAAACUUGUGCUAAUACCGUAUGAUGUCUUCGGACCAAAGAUUUAUCGCCUAGGGAUGAGCCCGCGUAGGAUUAGCUAGUUGGUGGGGUAAAGGCCUACCAAGGCGACGAUCCUUAGCUGGUCUGAGAGGAUGAUCAGCCACACUGGGACUGAGACACGGCCCAGACUCCUACGGGAGGCAGCAGUGGGGAAUAUUGGACAAUGGGCGAAAGCCUGAUCCAGCAAUGCCGCGUGAGUGAAGAAGGCCUUCGGGUUGUAAAGCUCUUUUACCCGGGAAGAGUAAUGACUGUACCGGGAGAAUAAGCCCGGCUAACUCCGCGCCAGCAGCCGC
rnacentral:rRNA from 1 species